GUAUUUACGGGGGGGGGUCCAGGGGUACUGGACCCCCCCCAGAACCUCUCAUAAAAAAAAAAAAACUAAAAUUCUUACAUAUUUGCAGAACCCGAUUUAUGUAAGCACGCUCGGUCGCGCGGAUAUAGUUUUUUCCCGUGAACAAAAUAUAAUAGCAUGGUUUUAAGUAAUAAGACGUAUUAUAAAUUUAUAGUAAUGUUAUUCUGACGACAGUUUUUCUAUGUAACGACCUUAUACGAAGUGCGAUAAACCGAUAAAAUUAAUAGGUAUCAAGUACCCGUAUCUUUGAAAUAUAAACUUUAUCACACAGAAAAACGAUUAUGGAUGGAUUUGUGUGUAUAGCAAUUAGCAAUAUUUGUGUAGCCAAUAGCCAUAUAUGGAUAGGUAUAAUAAAAUAUAAAUUAGUGGCUUUUAUAAGAUAUUACACAUUUUCUAUUAGUCUCAUUUUGCCUUCAACAACUAUACGAGUAACGUGUGAACCAGUGAACAAGUGUUUAUUGUAUUUUGAUCAAUAUUAAGAAUUAAGAAUGUACAGCUGAAAAGCUAUGGAUGGACUGUGGUUGAACGAAAACGAACGCGACCAAAUAAGUGUUUUUAGACACUCGAACUAGUGUUCUAGUCUCACAGAUCGGCCAUUGACAAGUUAAAAUAAAUGGAUUCAACAUUAAAAAAAUAUAAUAUAUAUGAUACUACGCUCAUCAUUCUGCCAAGUGAGUACAUAAUGAACGAUCUUAAUAGUUCAUGAAUUCGGGUUUUUUGUAACCUUCGUUCCAGGAAGAUUUGGGAUGAAAAGGUAUAGUUCAACUUUUUGGCUAGUUGCACUGCGGGCAUAACGUCACCUCCUACACGAGCACCGCGAGUAUUUGACUUUGGCGAACUUUCCAAAAUAUAUGCAUAUAUAUAUAUAUAUUUGUUUAUUUUGUAUCAACAUAUAUGCCUAUCAUAUAUAUAUAUUUGUUUAUUUUGUAUCAACAUAUAUGCCUAUCAUAUAUAUAUAUAUAGUGGUGGGUUGUAUUGAUACACACGCUGAGGACAAAAAGUAGACGGUAUAAAGUUCGCAAAAGUCCUGGAAAAGCAAACGUACGUUUCCGUUCAUUGUCGUCGUGGUUGUGAUUGCUAACGAAUCGGGUAUGAAAAAAUAAAAAUAAAACAGAAAAAACCAUUGCAAACAGUCCGCGUUUGCUAAAUGAAUCAAACCGAAUAUUUCAAAUCGAAUAAGACGUCGGGCAUCCGGCCAAUGAAUGAAUUGCGUCUACAAGAAUUAUUUUCCAUUCAGCACGAGGUUUUCGCGAUACCUACUAUGUUAUUCUACUACACGUCGUGUAUGAAAUAAACCCUAAAAUACAAUAUUAUUUCCAACCCGA